rnacentral:rRNA from 1 species
UGGGGAAUCUUGCACAAUGGAGGAAACUCUGAUGCAGCGACGCCGCGUGAGCGAUGAAGCCCUUCGGGGUGUAAAGCUCUUUCGGCAGGGAAGAUUAUGACGGUACCUGCAGAAGCAGCUGCGGCUAACUACGUGCCAGCAGCCGCGGUAAUACGUAGGCAGCAAGCGUUGUUCGGAGUUACUGGGCGUAAAGGGUGCGUAGGCGGCCUUGUAAGUAUGGUGUGAAAUCUCCCGGCUUAACUGGGAGGGUGCGCUAUUAACUGCAGGGCUAGAGUGCGGGAGAGGAAAGUGGAAUUCCUGGUGUAGCGGUGAAAUGCGUAGAUAUCAGGAGGAACACCGGUGGUGUAAACGGCUUUCUGGACCGUAACUGACGCUGAGGCACGAAAGCGUGGGUAGCAAACAGGAUUAGAUACCCCUGUAGUCC